UUGGAUAUGUUCUUUCAAGCUACCACCAUCCAUGUGAAGUUAGCAUGGAGUACAUCGUUAGCUUACUUUGUGUGCACAACAGCACAGUAUAAGGAAUUGAGCCUGAUUGCCUAUAUAUACACAUUAAACUGAUGACAUGACAGUUCAAGAUCUCACAGUCACAUCGGCGAUCUAAUCAGUCUCACAGGAAGCGAGCGUAACAAGGAUGAGUUCAGUGGAGAAGAAGCCGGAGGGAGUGAACACCGGUGCUGGUGACCGUCACAACCUGAAGACAGAGUGGCCAGAGUUGGUGGGGAAAUCGGUGGAGGAGGCCAAGAAGGUGAUUCUGCAGGACAAGCCAGAGGCGCAAAUCAUAGUUCUGCCGGUGGGGACAAUUGUGACCAUGGAAUAUCGGAUCGACCGCGUCCGCCUCUUUGUCGAUAAACUCGACAACAUUGCCCAGGUCCCCAGGGUCGGCUAGCAAGCUUGAGAGCUAGCCUGCUGCUGGCGUGUAUGUAUUGCAGCUUCACCAUCUCUUCUUGGCUAUAGCAAGAUUGAGAUUUAUAAAUCAUAUACAAUAAGAGUUGCUGCGGAAAA